rnacentral:rRNA from 1 species
UACGAAGGGGGCUAGCGUUGCUCGGAAUCACUGGGCGUAAAGCGCACGUAGGCGGAUUGCUAAGUCAGGGGUGAAAUCCUGGAGCUCAACUCCAGAACUGCCUUUGAUACUGAGGAUCUUGAGUAUGGGAGAGGUGAGUGGAACUGCGAGUGUAGAGGUGAAAUUCGUAGAUAUUCGCAAGAACACCAGUGGCGAAGGCGGCUCACUGGCCCAUAACUGACGCUGAGGCGGCGAAAGCUAGGGGAGCAAACGGG